rnacentral:rRNA from 1 species
GAUGAACGCUGGCGGCGUGCCUCAAACAUGCAAGUCGAGCGGGGCUAUGUAAUAUCGCAAGGUAGAACAUAGCCUAGCGGCGAACGGGUGAGUAACACGUGGGUAACCUGCCUGGAAGACAGGGAUAACCGAUUCGAAAGGGUCGCUAAUACCUGAUAAUAUCCUUUCAUCGCAUGGUGAUAGGAAGAAAGGGGAAACCCGCUUUCAGAUGGGCCCGCGUCCCAUCAGCUAGUUGGUAAGGUAAAGGCUUACCAAGGCGACGACGGGUAGCCGGUCUGAGAGGAUGUACGGCCACACUGGGACUGAGAUACGGCCCAGACUCCUACGGGAGGCAGCAGUUGGGAAUCUUAGGCAAGUGGACGAAAGUCUGACCUAGCGACGCCGCGUGAGGGAAGAAGGCCUUCGGGUUGUAAACCUCUGUCAUGGGGGAAGAAGUAAGUGACGGUACCCCAAGAGGAAGCCCCUGCUAACUACGUG